UGGGGAAUAUUGCACAAUGGGCGAAAGCCUGAUGCAGCGACGCCGCGUGAGGGAUGACGGCCUUCGGGUUGUAAACCUCUUUCAGCAGGGAAGAAGCGAAAGUGACGGUACCUGCAGAAGAAGCGCCGGCUAACUACGUGCCAGCAGCCGCGGUAAUACGUAGGGCGCAAGCGUUGUCCGGAAUUAUUGGGCGUAAAGAGCUCGUAGGCGGCUUGUCACGUCGGAUGUGAAAGCCCGAGGCUUAACCUCGGGUCUGCAUUCGAUACGGGCUAGCUAGAGUGUGGUAGGGGAGAUCGGAAUUCCUGGUGUAGCGGUGAAAUGCGCAGAUAUCAGGAGGAACACCGGUGGCGAAGGCGGAUCUCUGGGCCAUUACUGACGCUGAGGAGCGAAAGCGUGGGGAGCGAACAG
rnacentral:rRNA from 1 species